GAGUGUAACACGACCAGUGUGAAAGUUUUUUGAUGUUCGAAUAAUGAGAUUGUAUUUCUAAGAAGAUCUGGCACAGAGUUGGAGAUGUACCUCUCAGGAGAUCAUUUGGUGAAGUGAGUGGACCAUCUAUAUUGAUUGGAUCAGAUAUGAGAGAAAUGAAGCUAUCAACACAACUUCUUCCUCUGCGAAAUCCAUAUUGAAUGUGUGGAAUGACAUCAUUGGAUUCUGCAUACCAGUCAAGUCGAGAUUUCACCAUAUUUUCAAAUAUUUUUCCAAUACAUGAUGAUAACGAGAUUGGACGAUAAGAACUGAUCUGUUCAGGUGACUUAUCUGGUUUUAAUAUAGGUAUUACACAUUGA